ACGAACGCUGGCGGCGUGCUUAACACAUGCAAGUCGAACGGUGAUGGCCAGCUUGCUGGUCUGAUCAGUGGCGAACGGGUGAGUAACACGUGAGCAACCUGCCCCAGACUCUGGAAUAACCAUGGGAAACGAUGGCUAAUACCGGAUACGAGACGCACACGCAUGUGUGGUGUCUGGAAAGAUUUAUCGGUCUGGGAUGGGCUCGCGGCCUAUCAGCUUGUUGGUGGGGUAGUGGCCUACCAAGGCGACGACGGGUAGCCG
rnacentral:rRNA from 1 species